GAAAGGGGAGGCUCGCCCGAGCGGUUGGUGCUGUCCGCGAGAGGAUUGGCUAAAGGGGGCUUUUGGGGGCGGUGCCUCAGGAAAAGGGGGGAAACAGAAAGCUGCCAAUCGGAUCGCUAGGGUAAGAAAUGGUAUAGAUUUGAGUAGAGGUGUGGUCAGAAUCCUGCCCGUGCAAGUAUGUGAUUGGACGAAGAGUUGCUGUUCAGUGAGGAGGGCACCGUGAUAGGGAAUCUUGAGAGGCAUGGAUUGAGAAGCAGUAGAUUUCCGCGCGUGAUCCGUGUGCAAAGGAAUGAGUAUGAGAGCGUUUGGGUGCCAAGGAGAGAAUCCCUGUUUUGAUAAGAGGCCUUUACUGUAGCCCUUUGAACUACAUUUUUUGGAUAGUCUCUGUUUGUUUCUGAAGUGUGGAGGCCUGUUGAUGGGAGAACUGGUAAAGUUUGUCAUAGCCCCCAAGGCAGCACACCCUAUUAUUUUAGGGUUCAACUUCCUUCAACACCACAAUCCAGCAAGCUCCCAGCAUUCACUGCUCCCUUCCAGCUUUCACCACACAGGCUAUCAAGGAACCAUCUUGUCUGUAAAGAGAAGAAGAGAGAAGGAAACUCGGGGAGCACCUGCCUUCCAUGAAGAUCCUGGCAUUGACCGCCUCCCUCCCAACUGUCACUACACAGGCUAUAAAGGAGCCAUCUCGCUUGUAGGGAAUGGAGGAAAAAAGGAAACUAGAAGUCUUUGGUUGCUGUAAGGACUCUGUUGCUACUGAAUUGUCUCUCUUCCCUUCCGCACCCUUUUGUCUUGUCUCUUUAGAUUGUAAGCCUGAGAGCAGGGGCUUGUCUAAGGUUAUAUAAGCUGCACUGAGAGUCUUCUGGCUUAAGGGUUGCAUAUAAGUAAAUGGAAUAAAUAAAUAAGUAAACUUCA
rnacentral:lncRNA from 1 species